CGGUGGGCGGAGACUUACCGGGCAGAGGAACGAGGUUUCGAUCUCCCAGGAAUUUAAAAGGUUGGGUCCGCUGGGCCGCGACUGACGUCCCAUCCUUGAAAGGAAGCGUCCUCGGACGAUGCUUUGGACUUCGGGGGAAUGACACGCCGACCUGGAUUUAUGAUUUACCUGUCUGUGUAUAACUUAACUCCUGCCACAAUCACUGAGCUUAGAAGCAGAUCCUUUCCCAGUUGAGCCUCCCCAAGCCCUGAGCCUUGGCCAACAUCUUGAUUUCAGCCUCGUGAAGGACUGAGAAAGUGGAUCCAGUAUAAUCUCUUUCAGGCCGAGAGCUGUUACCCCCUUCCUCCCACACUACGGGUGUCUAUUCCAGAAACUCCAGGAACACUGUGGGACUGUGAAUGAGGUGGCCUGUCACCGUGGGCACUCCUCAAGUGAUGUCACUGAUUCUCGUGCUGGAGAUCCAGUGGUGUUUCACCCACAUCGUGACUGUAAACAGAAAUUGAAGGGGGCAUUCCCAUGACUGCUGACGGGGUCCCACCCAAGGGCUCUGGAGGCUCUCUUCAGGCAACCCGGGUGCUCUAUGACUCUGGUCAGCUGGUCAGGGUCUGUGACAAGCAGGAACAUGCGUCUAAGUUCACUACUUUUAUGUUUUGCAAUAUGCUUUGUAAAAUUUUUAAUAAAAGUAAAUUAAAUAUUUAGAUAAAAGUCUGGUCCAUUUUACUUCCCUCUUCGAUUGCCUUCCCCACUUCCUUCCCAGAGACAACCCCAGUAGUAUCCUCAAGUAUGUGAUUUCUAUUUAUUAUCUAUAUAUUACCUAUCAUCAAUGUAUAUAGUGCUUUUUAAAUUUAAAAUAAGUUGUAUCAUACUGUUUGAGUUAUUCCCACAGUCUGCUUUUUUCCUCUCAAUGGUAUAAAUUUUGUUAUCUAUGUUAAUACUCUUAACACAUAGAGAUCUAGUUCAUUUUUUAAGCUGCUAUUAAUGUUCUUGGGAAAAUAAACUUUACUGUUCAUUACACUUCUGGUGGAUUUUAGAUUGUUCCCAACUUUUUAUAGCUGUCUCCUGUGCACAUAUUUGCAGGUUUCUCUAGAGGGAGACUUACUAGGUUACAAGGAAAUUGUUAGCUUUACUGGAGGUAACUUGAUAUUAAAAUAAUUGUAUUUAUUUUCACUCCCUCUAGUAGAAUAUGCAAGUUCCUAUUUUCUACCUCCUUUCCAACAUCUCAUAUUGUCAAGUUAAACGUUUUGUAGACAAUCAAGGGAUAUAAAGUGACAUCUAAUUUAAUUUGUAUUUUUCUAAAUUUAGGGAGGAAGAGCAUAUUUUUGUGAAUUUUGGUGAUUUUGUUUUUCUUUUCUGUGUCUUGUUCAUAAUUUUUGCCCAUUUUUUAAAAUUGGGGAUUUUGUUUUGUUGUUUAUUAAUUUUAAAUCCUGGUAUAUAUUAGGUACUUUGUAAUACAUGUUACAAAUAUC